UGGGGAAUAUUGCGCAAUGGGGGGAACCCUGACGCAGCCAUGCCGCGUGAAUGAAAAAGGCCUUCGGGUUGUAAAGUUCUUUCGGUAUUGAGGAAGGUUGAUGUGUUAAUAGCACAUCAAAUUGACGUUAAAUACAGAAGAAGCACCGGCUAACUCCGUGCCAGCAGCCGCGGUAAUACGGAGGGUGCGAGCGUUAAUCGGAAUAACUGGGCGUAAAGGGCACGCAGGCGGUUAUUUAAGUGAGGUGUGAAAGCCCCGGGCUUAACCUGGGAAUUGCAUUUCAGACUGGGUAACUAGAGUACUUUAGGGAGGGGUAGAAUUCCACGUGUAGCGGUGAAAUGCGUAGAGAUGUGGAGGAAUACCGAAGGCGAAGGCAGCCCCUUGGGAAUGUACUGACGCUCAUGUGCGAAAGCGUGGGGAGCAAACAGGAUUAGAUACCCUGGUAGUCCACGCUGUAAACGCUGUCGAUUUGGGGGUUGGGGUUUAACUCUGGCGCCCGUAGCUAACGUGAUAGAUCGACCGCCUGGGGAGUACGGCCGCAAGGUUA
rnacentral:rRNA from 1 species